rnacentral:rRNA from 1 species
UACGAAGGGGGCCAGCGUUGCUCGGAAUCACUGGGCGUAAAGGGCGCGUAGGCGGAUCUUUAAGUCGGGGGUGAAAGCCCAGGGCUCAACCCUGGAAUUGCCUUCGAUACUGAAGAUCUCGAGACCGGAAGAGGUAAGUGGAACUGCGAGUGUAGAGGUGAAAUUCGUAGAUAUUCGCAAGAACACCAGUGGCGAAGGCGGCUUACUGGUCCGGUUCUGACGCUGAGGCGCGAAAGCGUGGGGAGCAAACAGG